GAGGGUAUAGCUCAAGUGGUAGAGCACAUGCUUAGCAUGCACGAGGUCCUGGGUUCAAUCCCUAGUACCUCCU
rnacentral:tRNA from 1 species